rnacentral:rRNA from 1 species
AUGUGCCACCCUACCACCCUGAACACACAGAUCUCAUCUGAUCCUGGAAGCUAAGCAGGUUUGGGUCUGGUUGGACCUUGGAUGGGAGAUCACCUGGGAAGACCAGGUUCUGUAGGUU